rnacentral:rRNA from 1 species
UACGGGGGGGGCAAGCGUUGUUCGGAAUUACUGGGCGUAAAGGGCUCGUAGGCGGCCAACUAAGUCAGACGUGAAAUCCCUCGGCUUAACCGGGGAACUGCGUCUGAUACUGGAUGGCUUGAGUUCGGGAGAGGGAGGCGGAAUUCCAGGUGUAGCGGUGAAAUGCGUAGAUAUCUGGAGGAACACCGGUGGCGAAGGCGGCAUCCUGGAGCGGCACUGACGCUGAGGAGCGAAAGCGAGGGGAGCAAACGGG